rnacentral:rRNA from 1 species
AUUGAACGCUGGCGGCAGGCCUAACACAUGCAAGUCGAACGGUAGCACAGAGAGCUUGCUCUCGGGUGACGAGUGGCGGACGGGUGAGUAACGUCUGGGAAACUGCCCGAUGGAGGGGGAUAACUACUGGAAACGGUAGCUAAUACCGCAUAACGUCGCAAGACCAAAGUGUGGGACCUUCGGGCCUCACACCAUCGGAUGUGCCCAGAUGGGAUUAGCUAGUAGGUGGGGUAAUGGCUCACCUAGGCGACGAUCCCUAGCUGGUCUGAGAGGAUGACCAGCCACACUGGAACUGAGACACGGUCCAGACUCCUACGGGAGGCAGCAGUGGGGAAUAUUGCACAAUGGGCGCAAGCCUGAUGCAGCCAUGCCGCGUGUAUGAAGAAGGCCUUCGGGUUGUAAAGUACUUUCAGCGGGGAGGAAGGCGGUGGAGUUAAUAACUUCACCGAUUAACGUUACCCGCAGAAGAAGCACCGGCUAACUCCGUGCCAGCAGCCGCGGUAACAC